CAAGACACCACUUAUUACAUUAGACUCGAGCGGGCCGGCCGGUUGCACGGUUACAUUCCGUCUCGUUCAGUAGCCUGGUGCGCGGUCUAGGUAGCUCAUUUCCUGAUUGAUUCUACCACCACCACUCCAGUGGAGGCGCUAAUGAGCUAGAUUACUACUACACAC